AUUGGAUUCCUUGGCUCCCAUAUCAAUCAAGGUUUCAGCAGAUGGUCCGAUCAUGGGAUUCGCAGUA
rnacentral:rRNA from 16 species